AUGGGGAUUGGAGACCACCCAAAAUGGGUUAAUGGGGGUUGGAGACCACCCAAACCCCAAAGUGACCACCCAAAAGGGUUAAUGGGGAUUGGAGAUCCCAAAAAUGGGUUAACGGGGGUUGGAGACCACCCAGACCUCCAAAGUGACCACCCACCCACCCACCAUGGGUCAGCAGGGUUGGAGGAUGAGGAUGAGGAUGAGGAUGAGGAUGACGACAAAGGGGACACUGAGGAUGAUGAGGGCGAGGAUGAGGAUGGCCACAAUGAGAACACUGAGAAUAAGGGAGACGAAGAUGAGGAUGAGGAUGGUGACAAUGACACUGAGAGGGGUGAGGGAGAGGAUGGUGAGGCCGAAGAUGAUGAUGAGGAGAACGGCCAUGACCGUGAGAGUGAGGAUGAAGAUGAUGGCUACAAUGAGGACCCUGAGAAUGAGGAGGACAAGGAGGGGGAGCACAAGAAUGAUGAUGAUGAUGAAGAUGAUGAAGAUGAUGAUGAUGAACAUGAUGAUAACGAUGAUGACGUUGAUGAUGAAGAAGAGAAUGGUGAUGACUACGAGGGUGAACACAAGGGUGGUGGCAACAGGGACACUGAAGAUGAUGAGGAUGAUGAGGAUGGUGACAAUGACACCGAGGAUGAUGAGGAUGAUGAGGAUGAUGAGGAUGAAGAUGGCCAUGAUGAGAACACCGAAAAUGAUGAGGAAGAUGAGGACGGUAACGAUGACACCGAGGACGAUGAAGAUGAAGAUGAAGAUGGCCAUGAUGAGGAUGGUGAAGAUGAGAAUGAGGAUGGGGACCAUGACACCGAGGAUGAUGAGGAUGAUGAGGAUGAUGAGGAUGAAGAUGGCCAUGAUGAGGGCACUGAAGAUGAGAAUGAGGAUGGGGACCAUGACACGGAGGAUGAUGAGGAUGAUGAAGAUGGUGAUAAUGGAAGUGAGGAUGAGAAUGAUGAAGAUGGUGACAACGACACCGACAAUGAGAAUGAUGAGGAUGAGGAUGGUGACAAUGACGCCGAUGAAGAAGAUGGUGACAGCGACACCAAUGGUGAGGAUGGUGACCAUGACACCAAUGAUGAAAAUGAAGAUGGUGAUAAGGACACUGAUAAUGAGGAUGAUGAAGAUGGUGACAAUGACACCAACGAUGAAGAUGGUGACAACACCAAUGGUGGAGGUGAUAAAGAUGGUGACAAUGGCACCAACAAUGAAGAUGAUGAAGAUGAUGAGGAUGGUGACAACGACACCGACGGUGAAGAUGGUGACAAUGACACCAACAAUGAGGAUGAUGAAGAUGACAAUGACACUGAUGAUGAACAUGAUGACGACGACACUGACAAUGAAUAUGAUGAGGAUGAGGAUGAUGAAGAUGACAAUGACACUGAUGAUGAAGAUGAUGAAGAUGGUGAGAACGACACUGACAAUGACGAUGAUGAGGAUGAGGAUGGUGACAAUGACACUGACAAUGAGGAUGAUGAAGAUGGUGACAAUGGCACCAACAAUGAGGAUGAUGAAGAUGACAAUGACACUGAUAAUGAAGAUGAUGAAGAUGGUGACAACGACACUGACAAUGACGAUGAUGAGGAUGAGGAUGGUAACAAUGACACUGAUGAUGAAGAUGAUGAAGAUGGUGACAACGACACUGACAAUGAUGAUGAUGAGGAUGAGGAUGGCGGCAAUGACACUGAUGAUGAAGAUGAUGAAGAUGAUGACAAUGACACUGACAAUGACGAUGAUGAGGAUGAGGAUGGUGACAAUGACACUGAUGAUGAAGAUGAUGAAGAUGAUGAAAACAACACUGACAAUGACGAUGAUGAGGAUGAGGAUGGCGACAAUGACACUGAUGAUGAAUAUGAUGAAGAUGACAACAACCCGCUCGCCCCACUGACCUCUCCCUCAGCGCCGGAGCGGAACUGCGGCAGCGUCUCCAGGCAGAAGACCACGAUGGACACCAGGAUGACCAGCACGGACAGCAGGGCCACCACCCGCGCGGCCGGCGAGCUCUCGGGGUGCUCGCACAGCAGCCACGCCCGCCGCCUCAAACCGCCGCGCGGCAACGCCGGCGGCUCCUCCACCGAGAAGCCUUCGGCCUCGCGCAGCCGCUCCUCCGCCUCGUCGCCCAGCUGGUAG
ensembl:lncRNA